rnacentral:misc_RNA from 1 species
UAGUAAAAUCUGCUCAAUGAAUUUAAAUAGCCGCUAAUUAGUGCUAAGGUAGCAUAAUAAUUUGUCUUUUAAUUAAAGACUAGAACAAAAGAKUAUACAUUUUUAUUUAUUUAUUAAAAAUAAUUUCGAAAUUAUUUUAAAUGUAAAAAAACAUUUAUAAAAAAGAAAGACGACAAGACCCUAUUGAACUUAACUUCAGUUUAACUGGGGCAGUUAAUUAUUUAAAAUUUUAAUUAAAUUUAUAAUAAAAUUAUCCAAUAAUGAUAAUCAAGUUACCAUAGGGAUAACAGCAUAAUUUAUUUUUAAAGAUCUUAUAAAAAAAUAAGAUUAUGACCUCGAUGUUGAAUUAAUAAUCUUUUAAAAGAAAAAUUUUAAAAAGAAAGUCUGUUCGACUUUUAAAUAAUUACAUGAUUUGAGUUCAGACCGGUGUAAGCCAGGUCGGUUUCUAUCUUCUUACUCUUUUUACAGUACGAAAGGACCUAAAAAUUUAAUUAAAUUAAUAAUUUGGCAGAAAAUGCAUUAGAAUUAGAAUCUAAUUAUAUAUAUAUA